rnacentral:tRNA from 1 species
GCCGGGGUAGCUUAGCCUGGUUAAAGCGCCGGACUCAUAAUCCGGAGAUCGCGGGUUCGAAGCCCGCCCCCGGCACCA